rnacentral:rRNA from 1 species
AGUGAACGCUGGCGGUAGGCCUAACACAUACAAGUCGAACGGCAGCACAGUAAGAGCUUGCUCUUACGGGUGGCGAGUGGCGGACGGGUGAGGAAUACAUCGGAAUCUACUUUUUCGUGGGGGAUAACGUAGGGAAACUUACGCUAAUACCGCAUACGACCUACGGGUGAAAGCAGGGGAUCUUCGGACCUUGCGCGAUUGAAUGAGCCGAUGUCGGAUUAGCUAGUUGGCGGGGUAAAGGCCCACCAAGGCGACGAUCCGUAGCUGGUCUGAGAGGAUGAGCAGCCAAACUGGAACUGAGACACGUGCCAGACCCCGACGGGGGGGAGGAGGGGGGAAUAUUGGAAAAUGGGCGAAAGCCUGACCCCGCCAAUCCGCGUGGGUGAAGAAGGCCUUCGGGUGGUAAAGCCCUUUUGUUGGGAAAGAAAAGGAGAAGGUUAACACCCCGCUGUUCGGACGGUACCCAAAGAAUAAGCCCCGGCAAACUUCGG